UGCAUUUAUAUACACCGAUAAAUAAUAUUCGAAAUCAUAUAGUUAAUUAUAAUUUAUAUAAAUCAAAUAUUAAACUUAUAAUAAUCAUAAUAAUCAUUUAUUAUUCAAGAAAGAAAAUAAAUAUGAAAUGAAUAAAUUGCUUUAUACAACUAAAAGUAAAUGCUAAAAUGCCGCCCCAGGGUAAGUGCCGCCCGGUGCGGACCGCACCCACCGCCCCCCCUUAGGUACGCCACUGAGUCCUCAACAUCAUCAUCUAUCAGUAACGAGGAAGAAAGCGAUGACGAAGUUAUCUGCAGCGUCUUGGGUACACGUAAGAGAGAAUGCAAACAAAUCGAUGUACGUAUCAAUGACAUACCUUGCAUUAUGGAUUGGGACCCCGGCUCUGCGUAUUCAAUAAUAAACACGACAUUAUGCAAAAAAUUAGGAUCACCAUCUUUACAACCCGCCCCGAAACUUAAGGCCUACGGUAACACAAACUUAAAAACAAAGGGAAUUACAAAAGUAACAGUCGAAGUCGACGGACUGCAAAAACUUCUACCUGUGGUCGUAAUGAAAAAUGCCAAACCAAUGUUAUUUGGUUUACAUUGGAGUGACGUUUUUAAAAUGGAAUUUCCAAAACCAGUAAACUCCAUCAAAACAUCAACACCGAUGACUCUUAAACAAAUAUUGGAUAAACAUGUACAACUCUUUGAUGGAACACUAGGAAAAGUUAACAAUUAUUACGUAAACAUACAUGUCAAACCAGAAGCUGAACCGAUCCACCUUCCUGCACGGCCUAUAAAAUUCAGCAUGAAAAAGAAUAUAGAAAGGGAGUUAGAUCGUCUGAUCUCAGAAGGGAUAGUGGAAAAAGUAGAUCCUAAUAUUACACCUAUUGAAUGAGCUACACCCACAGUUAACAUUCUGAAAUCUACAGGGGAAGUUAGGAUAUGUGGAGACUACAGAACUACGCUUAAUCCAGUACUUAUUAAAUAUCUACACCCAGUUCCAAUUUUCGAUCAACUACGCCAAAAUCUCACAAACGGUAAAUUAUUUUCAAAAAUAGACCCUAAAGACGCAUACUUACAAUUUGAAAUAGCACCAGAUUCGAAAAAGUACUUGACGUUGUCAAUCCAUAAAGGGUAUUUCCAAUAAAAUAGAAUGCCUUUUGGAAUAUCGACUGCUCCUUCAAUUUUCCAACAUUUUCUGGAUCAACUGCUAGGCGAUAUCAAUGUAGCUGUAUAUUUUGACGACAUAGGUAUAGCAGGGAAAGAUAUUUCAGAACAUUUACAAACUUUAUUUAUUUUAUUCGAUCGCUUACAAAACGCCGGCCUAAAAGUUAACUUAAAGAAAUGUAAUUUCUUACAGAAUCAGAUUGAAUACCUAGGUCACAUAAUAGAUAAACAUGGCAUCCACCCAACCAAAUCUAAAAUUGAUGCCAUAACUAAGGCCUCAGCACUGUGUAAUGCAAAAGAACUACGAUCAUUUUUAGGACUAGUUAACUUUUACGAACGGUUUGUACCACAUCUUCACGGGAUUUGUUCGGAUCUUCAUGAUGUAACUAGUGAAAAAAAUAGAUGGCGUUGGACUGAUCAUGAAAACAGAAUAUUUGAAGAUACAAAGAAAUGCAUAACUUCUUCACAACCAUUAAUUGCAUUUGACGAGAAACGUCCCCUUUAUUUAGCAUGUGACGCUUCCGAAAAGGGAUUGGGUGCAGUAUUAUUCCACAAGGACUCGAACAUAGAACAACCAAUUGCUUUUGCUUCAAGGAAACUACGACCAGCGGAAAUGAAAUAUUCCGUUAUUGAUCGUGAAGCUUUAGCAAUAGUAUUUGGUAUAAAAAAAUUUGAUCAGUACUUGAGAGGAACGAAAUCUAGUUACGGACCAUAAGCCUCUUAUACAUAUUAUGGGAGCACACCGCAACCUUCCUAAACUAGCCAAUAACCGAUUGGUUAGAUGGGCCCUAGUAGUGGGAAGUUAUCAAUAUGACAUUUAUUAUAGGAAAUGUGGUGGAAGGUAAAGGUGAUUCGGGACAAAUUUCAACUUGAUGAACAAUUUUAUGGUAGUUGUUGAUGUUUAAAAUGCUAUAUCAGGAUCAAAAUGAUUGAGUCUUGGGCUAUCUUUGUUAUCCAAUUUAAAGCUUUUCAACUAGCAUUCCAGUUUAAGCAAAAAAUGCAAAAAUAGGUGCUAUCCCUAUUUACCCAAAAAUUCCGGUUAUUGGGGACGUAAUUAGUGUUAAUAAAUUUGCUAGGGCUGGCACUCUUUGGUUUUAAUUUAUUUAUUUAUUUAGUUGCACCAACAAAAUGAUCAUCAAUAAAAAACAUUGAAAAACUGACAAAAGCACAUGGCCGAUGUCACCUCAAUAAUAGGUGCAAUCAACAGUGCAUUGACAACAAAAAUAAAAAAUAUAAAUAUUUGCCAAAGAAUAAAAUAACACUGCAUUAAUAAUUUUGAAUAAAAAUUCUAGACAAAAACAUCAUAAAUAAACCAUAUUCUUAGCAACGAAUUUAAAAAAUAUUGUUAUAACUACAUAGACAACCCUACAAACGUGUACUUAUUAAUACUUAAGUCGUUUCCAUUUUACUUAUUCUCAUCCCAAUUGACCCCUUUUUGUUGUUAUUUGUACCUGAGAUGUCCCCAAUAUUCCCAAAAACAACAGAUUUUUACAUGUAUUUUUAUUUUAUCAAAAACAAUAAAACCAAUAACAACUGAGACUUACCUAUAAUCAUGGAGUUAAUAAGUACCUACAACACUUAUUAAAAUAGUAACUCUAUGCCUUUAAUAUACUUAGUCUGGCCAUAAAUACUGUGCGUUUUCUCAGUAGUUUUGCAUUAUUUAUAGAACUUGCACUCAGACACAGCCCACUGAGUUUCUCGCUGGAUCUUCUCAGUGGGUCGCGUUUCCGAUCCGGUGGUAGAUUCUGCGAAGCACGACUUUUGCUAGGGUUCGUGUUAGCAACGUCAUCAGGUUUGAGCCCCGUGAGCUCACCUACUAGCCACGGUUACGCUGAAAUAGCCCCUAGGGCUAACAGAUUAGGUAGAAAAAAAAAAAAAAAAAAAGAUAUAGCAUGCGUAUCCAUGGAAGAUUCACAAUGCUCAAUUGUGACAUCAUGAGAUACCUGUGGGACUGUGCCCCCAGGAUCGAGAGGUUCGUCCCCCAUGGGGAAAACAAAAUAAAUAAAUAAAAAAUUUACUCUACGAAGAAAUAUUUACACUAACUAUAAAAUAUAACCUAAAAAGAACUAAAAUAACAAAUAUUUACACUACUUUACACCUAUCUGAUUUUUAAAAGAUAUUUUCAAAAUUUAAAUUGUAAAAGACACACCCGCUCUUUCGACGUUUCCCGCGCUUUUCUUUCCUUACCUUUGUCUGUGGCAAUACGCACAGCGUGAUGCCAUAAAAAAAAAAUUAAAAAAUAAAAAUCAGAGGAGUCGAGGCCAUAGAUUAUACACUUAAUAUAUGUCGAGGCUUGAACGAGUGAAUUGUUUCAAUAACAUCAUUUACUGUUUGUACAGGUUAAAGUAUCCAAUAAAGGUGACAAAUUGAAAAAGUUUAACAACUGUGGAAGUGCACAAGUGUGGGGAAAUGUUGGAAAGGCGCUGGACUUGGCGGCUAGAGCUCUAUCAAAAAAAGCAUUCAACUCGUAUUCAAUUGAUCCCUUUUCAGUAGUUCGACUCCAUUUGAAAAAUAUAUAUACACAAGGAAGUCUUAUAAACCAUUAGACUAGACUAUUAACGUAAAACUGAGUAUCUAACACAGGAAGCAAAUGUUUUGUGAGAUUUUCGUCCAACGUUCCAUUGGAUACUUCACUAGUUGUAAUGCUACUCGAUUGGUGACUUUUGGUUGGCUGUUAACUUGGUUGAUUUUAAGCUUGAUAGGGCAAGAAAACGACACGAGAAGGAAAUCGGGGAGACAUAUAAGUGCUGGCCGUGAGAAAAUGACGUAAACUCUGCAUUUCAGUGUGUUGCAGAUUAAUCAGUAUGUUAAUUGGCUUCUUUUGGUGAAGGUGAUACAAAAGGAUGGUCACAAUCCUCAGCCGUGAAGAAUACGAGGAGGAAUUGGCUUCUUAUGAUGCCAUUAUUGACAGUGUUGUGUCUAUUUAUUUAUUAAAUAUUUAUUUACUUUAAGAAAUAGUACGUAAUGAAAGAAGUUGAUUAAUAUGAAAGCCAUUAAUUAUAAUUGAACGAAAUAAAAUGGAAUUAGAUGAGAUGAGUCAAGAUGGAAUUAAAUACUUUCCCAGUAAAAUUGUGAGACUGACCCUUCAAUUGACCUUAAUAUAUUGAAAUUGAAAAGCCACGUUCUGGGAAUUUCUCACUUUCCCAUACUUGUGCACUUCCACGGAUCCUCAACGAUUAAUAAGUUGCCAUUACUACACGCUUAAGGCACCGUAAUAGUUUUAGUUAUUUAUUUUGUGAACCAGAAAAUAUCUGAAAUUUUCAAUUUUAAAUUUAGUUCCGAAAUAGAAAAUACUCCACGACAACCAGUUUUAGACCGGGUCUUUCAACAGAAAGUGCAUUUUUUUUUGCCUAAAGCGGACUGUCAGAUACUACACCGAUAGAAAGACGCCAGUUUACGCGUGCUUCCUUGACCUGUCGAAAGCGUUUGAUCUGGUCUGCUACGAUAUGUUAUGAAAAAAACUGGAGGAUACCAAAGUGCCACCAGAAAUAAAUAGCAUUUUUAAAUUUUGGUACAGCAACCAGGUCAGCGUUGUGAUAUGGGCAGGAGCGCUGUCUGAACCGUACAGGCUGGAGUGCGGGGUGAGGCAGGGGGGAUUGACCUCCCCUAAGCUUUUUAACCUGUACGUUAAUGCUCUGAUUCGCGAGCUUAGCAGCACACAUGUCGGCUGUCAUGUUGAAGGUGUCAAUAUCAAUAAUAUUAGUUACGCUGAUGACAUGGUGCUGCUGAGUGCGUCUCCCUUGGACUGGCGAGGCUCCUACGUAUAUGUGAAAGGUAUGUUAGCUGUCAUGGCCUAGUGUAUAACUUUAAAAAAAGUAAAUGCAUGGUCUUUGAGGCCGCAGCCAAGUACCCUAUGAGAAUACCAUCCAUUACUCUGAAGAAAGUUCCGAUUGCAUUUGUAAAGAAAUUCAAAUAUCUGGGUCUCUUGUUAAACUCUGUCCUCAGGGGCAAUGCUGACAUAGAGCGUGAACGUAGGGAGUUGACAGUGCAUGCUAACAUGAUUGCCCGCAGGUUUGCACGUAGCUCUAGAGAAACAAAGAUUACGCUCUUCAGAGCAUAUUGUACAUCUUUUUACACUUGCAGUCUGUGGGUUAAUUACUCGCAAAAGCAGUAUAACGCCCUGCAUGUACAGUAUAAUGAUGCAUUUAGGAUGCUGAUGGGGCUGCCUCGAUUUUGCAGCGCAUCGGGCAUGUUUGCGGAGGCGCGCACCGACGAUUUCUAUGCCAUAUUAAGAAAGCGAUGCGCGUCCUUGCUCUGCAGGGUAGGGGCUAGCUCCAACAGCAUCCUGGCCAUGAUAUUCUCUAGGUUAGAUGGACAUUUUCUGAAUCACUGCACAGAGGUCCACAAAAUUUUCUCGUAAUGCAGCUAUUGCAAUCUUAUGUAGUAUGUAUGUUGUUCUUUUCUUUUAUUACUGUGUCCUUACUAACUUAUUUUUAAGAAAUAACUGUUACUAAUAUUUAUAUGGAUCAUUAUCUGAAAUAAAGAAUUUAAUAAUAAUUAUUAUCGCGGGCUUUGAGCGCGGCGACCGAGUCAAGAAAUUCAGUAACGAAAAUAAAACCUAACACCCCCA